CAGUCGCCGCGGUAAUACGUAGGGUGCAAGCGUUAAUCGGAAUUACUGGGCGUAAAGCGUGCGCAGGCGGUUUGUUAAGACAGAUGUGAAAUCCCCGGGCUCAACCUGGGAACUGCAUUUGUGACUGGCUAGCUAGAGUGUGGCAGAGGGGGGUGGAAUUCCGCGUGUAGCAGUGAAAUGCGUAGAUAUGCGGAGGAACACCGAUGGCGAAGGCAGCCCCCUGGGCAAACACUGACGCUCAUGCACGAAAGCGUGGGGAGCAAACAGGAUUAGAUACCCCCGUAGUCCCUGUCUCUUAUAC
rnacentral:rRNA from 1 species